rnacentral:rRNA from 1 species
GACGAACUCUGGCGGCGCGCCUAACACAUGCAAGUCGAACGAGCAAGAGAGAGCUUGCUUUCUCGAGCGAGUGGCGAACGGGUGAGUAACGCGUGAGGAACCUGCCUCAAAGAGGGGGACAACAGUUGGAAACGUCUGCUAAUACCGCAUAAGCCCACGGGUCGGCAUCGACCAGAGGGAAAAGGAGCAAUCCGCUUUGAGAUGGCCUCGCGUCCGAUUAGCUAGUUGGUGAGGUAACGGCCCACCAAGGCGACGAUCGGUAGCCGGACUGAGAGGUUGAACGGCCACAUUGGGACUGAGACACGGCCCAGACUCCUACGGGAGGCAGCAGUGGGGAAUAUUGCACAAUGGGGGAAACCCUGAUGCAGCGACGCCGCGUGGAGGAAGAAGGUCUUCGGAUUGUAAACUCCUGUUGUUGGGGAAGAUAAUGACGGUACCCAACAAGGAAGUGACGGCUAACUACGUGCCAGCAGCCGCGGUAAAACGUAGGUCACAAGCGUUGUCCGGAAUUACUGGGUGUAAAGGGAGCGCAGGCGGGAAGACAAGUUGGAAGUGAAAUCUAUGGGCUCAACCCAUAAACUGCUUUCAAAACUGUUUUUCUUGAGUAGUGCAGAGGUAGGCGGAAUUCCCGGUGUAGCGGUGGAAUGCGUAGAUAUCGGGAGGAACACCAGUGGCGAAGGCGGCCUACUGGGCACCAACUGACGCUGAGGCUCGAAAGUGUGGGUAGCAAACAAGAUUAGAUACCCUGGUAGUCCACACCGUAAACGAUGAUUACUAGGUGUUGGAGGAUUGACACCUUCAGUGCCGCAGUUAACACAAUAAGUAAUCCACCUGGGGAGUACGACCGCAAGGUUGAAACUCAAAGGAAUUGACGGGGGCCCGCACAAGCAGUGGAGUAUGUGGUUUAAUUCGACGCAACGCGAAGAACCUUACCAAGUCUUGACAUCCCUUGACAGGCAUAGAAAUAUGUUUUCUCUUCGGAGCAAGGAGACAGGUGGUGCAUGGUUGUCGUCAGCUCGUGUCGUGAGAUGUUGGGUUAAGUCCCGCAACGAGCGCAACCCUUAUGGUCAGUUACUACGCAAGAGGACUCUGGCCAGACUGCCGUUGACAAAACGGAGGAAGGUGGGGAUGACGUCAAAUCAUCAUGCCCUUUAUGACUUGGGCUACACACGUACUACAAUGGCGUUAAACAAAGAGAAGCAAGACCGCGAGGUGGAGCAAAACUCAGAAACAACGUCCCAGUUCGGACUGCAGGCUGCAACUCGCCUGCACGAAGUCGGAAUUGCUAGUAAUCGUGGAUCAGCAUGCCACGGUGAAUACGUUCCCGGGCCUUGCACUCACCGCCC